AAUGGCUCAUAAAUCAGUUCGUUUAUUUGAUAUACCUACUACUGGAUACCGUGGUAAUUCUAGAGCUAAUACAUGCUGAAAACCCCAACUUCGGGAGGGGUGUAUUAUUAGAUAAAAAACCAAUGCCCUCCGGGGCUCUUUGGUGAUUCAUGAUAACUUAACGAUCGCAUGGCCUUGCGCUGGCGACGGUUCAUUCAAAUUUCUGCCCUAUCAACUUUCGAUGGUAAGGUAUUGGCUUACCAUGGUUUCAACGGGUACGGGGAAUAAGGGUUCGACUCCGGAGAGGGAGCCUGAGAAACGGCUACCACAUCCAAGGAAGGCAGCAGGCGCGCAAAUUACCCAAUCCCGACGCGGGGAGGUAGUGAAUAAAUACUGAUACAGGGCUCUUUUGGGUCUUGUAAUUGGAAUGAGUACAAUUUAAACCCUUAACGAGGAACAAUUGGAGGGCAAGUCUGGUGCCAGCACCGCGGUAAUUCCAGCUCCAAUAGCGUAUAUUAAAGUUGUUGCAGUUAAAAAGCUCGUAGUUGAACCUUGGGCCUGGCUGGCUGGUCCGCCUCACCGCGUGUACUGGUCCGGCCGGGCCUUUCCUUCUGGAGAUCUACAUGCCCUUCACUGGGUGUGCUAGGGAACCAGGACUUUUACUUUGAAAAAAUUAGAGUGUUCAAAGCAGGCCUUUGCUCGAAUACGUUAGCAUGGAAUAAUAGAAUAGGACGUGCGGUCUAUUUUGUUGGUUUCUAGGACCGCCGUAAUGAUUAAUAGGGAUAGUCGGGGGAUCAGUAUUCAAUUGUCAGAGGUGAAAUUCUUGGAUUUUUGAAGACUAACUACUGCGAAAGCAUUUGCCAAGGAUGUUUUCAUUAAUCAGUGAACGAAAGUUAGGGGAUCGAAGACGAUCAGAUACCGUCGUAGUCUUAACCGUAAACUAUGCCGACUAGGGAUCGGGCGAUGUUUGACUCGCUCGGCACCUUGCGAGAAAUCAAAGUCUUUGGGU
rnacentral:rRNA from 1 species